UACGGGGGGAGCAAGCGUUGUUCGGAUUUACUGGGCGUAAAGGGCGCGUAGGCGGCCUCUGCAAGUCGACUGUGAAAUCUCCGGGCUUAACCCGGAAAGGUCAGCCGAUACUGCAGGGCUAGAGUGCAGAAGGGGCAACUGGAAUUCUCGGUGUAGCGGUGAAAUGCGUAGAUAUCUGGAGGAAUACCGGUGGCGAAGGCGGCAUCCUGGACCGGCAUUGACGCUGAGGAGCGAAAGCCAGGGGAGCAAACGGG
rnacentral:rRNA from 1 species